GGUUAUCGAUAAGCGUCCACCUCCUCGCGGUGAUAACCGGGCAACGUUGAAUUCAUCAGCGGCAAAGGACGUCUAA
rnacentral:ribozyme from 1 species